AAUGGGCCCCGGCUCAACUUCAGCGUUUUUCGCCCGCUCAGCUCCUCCCACUUGGCCUCAGCUCCUCCCACUCGCCAUUGGCUACUCCCACUCGGCUUCAGCUCCUCCCACGCGUCCUCGGAUCCUCCUACCCAGCCUCAUUUACCCUCUUCGACCCGCUCUGGACCUCGGUUUCCAGGGCCCUGCCUCGGUUCGCCCGCCCCGAAACACCCACUAGCUCCCGGCUUCCGCUGUUUCUGCCUAGCUCGGCUCUCGCUCCCGCCCUCGCCCGAGGUGCUGCCCUCCCUUAGCCGUCUCUGCCCCGCGACCUCCCUCCCUUGGCGCCGGUGACGCCGCUUUUCGGCCCAGUUCGGAUCCUCCCGCCCGGCUUCGGCUCCCUCCGCGCCUGGCUUCGGCUCUCUCCGCGCCUGGUUUCGGCUCUUUCCGCCCAGCCUCGGCUUUCCCGCCAGUCCUCGCUUCGCGUCCCACCUUGGCGUCGUCUGUUCCUCGCUGUCUCCGACCUGAAACUUCCCCUCCGUCCACGCCUGGUUUUGCUCUGCUUCUCCGCCGCCCUUCCCGCCGCUUUUGGGCCCGGCGCGGCUCCUCCCGCCUGGCCUCAGCUCCUCCCAUUGGCCUUGGCUCUUCCGGUUCCUCUCGGCCGACCUCGGCUCCCACCCCCGGUCUUUGGCUCCCCUCGCCCAGCCUUGGAUUCCCCGCCGCUCCUCGACUCGGUUCGUUCAGUUCGGCUUUCUGCGCCCGGCCUCGGUUUUCUCCGAUUUCGCUGCUUCAGUUCGGCUCUUUCCGCCUCUCCACAUGGCAUCCUGGCCUCGGCGUGACACUAGGUCUGGUUGGGUCCUCGUCUUAGUCCGGGGAGGUUGCACUAAUUUGAGUUCCCGUCAUUAUUAUAUGGAGGUGCCAGUGUCUCCACAUCCUGGCCAAUCUGUUAUCUUUUUAAAAGAAAAAAACUUCCUGAUCCAUGAAAAAGAUCACUGGCUUUGGGGAGAAGUCGCUUCCAUAAAGAAAUUUAGCCCUGUUGAGAGGCCUACGUGGUUUGGAAGUGCAGGUCCCUCGGAAACAGCUAGCAUGCACUUGUCAGGCAUGUGAGUGAGCCAUCUGGAAGUGGUCCCUUCACCAGUACAAAUUCUGGAUGAUUAUGGUUCUGCUGACAUCUGGACUGUAACCUCUUGAGAGAUCCUGAACUAUGGAGCUACGUUGUUUCUGAAUUCCUGACCUACAAAAACUGUGAGAUAAGUGUUUGUUGUUUGAAGCCACACAAUUUUGUGGGGUAAUUUGUUACACGUUAUACAGUAGCAGGUAAUUCAUACAUCUGGUGAAGAGUUCUUUCAUGUUAUCUGAGGCAUGAAAGAUCAAUGAAUGCUUUUCGCAGUUAUUGAAUUCACAUCUGCCUAAUAUGCUUUCUCAUAUGCACAGAAAGGUACCCGUUACUUGUGAAGAAUCUCCCACAAUAAUUACAUUCAUAGGGUUUUUUUCCACUGUGAGUUCUCCUGUGUUUCUUAACAGAUGAGAGAACAUUAAAGGCUUUUCCACAGUCACUGCACUCAUAGGAUUUCUCUCCAUUAUGUAUUCUCCUGUGAACUGUAAGAGAAAAGCUACUGGUGAAGGACAUCCCACACUCA